GAUGAACGCUGGCGGCGUGCCUAAUACAUGCAAGUCGAGCGAACAGACGAGGAGCUUGCUCCUCUGACGUUAGCGGCGGACGGGUGAGUAACACGUGGAUAACCUACCUCUAAGACUGGGAUAACUUCGGGAAACCGGAGCUAAUACCGGAUAAUAUAUUGAACCGCCUGGUUCAAUAGUGAAAGACGGUUUUGCUGUCACUUAUAGAUGGAUCCGCGCCGCAUUAGCUAGUUGGUAAGGUAACGGCUUACCAAGGCAACGAUGCGUAGCCGACCUGCGAGGGUGAUCGGCCACACUGGAACUGAGACACGGUCCAGAAUCCUACGGGAGGCAGCAGUAGGGAAUCUUCCGCAAUGGGCGAAAGCCUGACGGAGCAACGCCGCGUGAGUGAUGAAGGUCUUCUGAUCGUAAAACUCUGUUAUUAGGGAAGAACAAAUGUGUAAGUAACUAUGCACGUCUUGACGGUACCUAAUCAGAAAGCCACGGCUAACUACGUG
rnacentral:rRNA from 1 species